ACCUUAGGAGAAGCGAGGGGUAUUGAAGAUUUAUAAUCCAAACCUCAGCACCUAUUGAAACUAAUAUAACCCAGUCUAAGGAAAAUCCAUGGCCUCAGUGUCUACUCCCACACAGACUCUAAAGCUCUGUCCGCCAUUAAAGAAUUAGUAGGUGGGGGUGGGGGCAAACGCCUUUAAUCCUAUCGCUCAGGAGGCAGAGGCAAGAGACUCUCUGGGAGUUCAGUGCCAGCCUGGUCUACAAAGCAAGUUCCACGACAGCCAGGGCUGUUACAAAGAGACUGUGUCUCAAAAGACAAAAAGAGUUAGUAGUGGCCAGAUGUUAGCUGUGGAGGUCUGAGUGGGACAGUCUGUGCCAUCCGGUGUUUGCAGGUCUAAGCUGCAGCAGUUUUAAGGGUCUAUGACACAGUCAUGUGCUUUCCCGUGAUCUCUAGGACUGUAUUUGGGAAACCACCCACAUUCUGAAUAGUAAAAUGUAGAUGCUUUCUCAACUACCACCUGACGCCAGGACGGAAGCGCGUGUUCCCCUCCUACAUCGAUCUCAGCUGUAGUUUGCUGACCUUUUCAUUCUAAAGUGGCAAGUAUCACCUAGUUUUCUCCUCAUCUUAAUGGCAUCAAAGACCCGUGUUCUCUCUCCGUACACGUGCUGAUGUAGCCACGAGGGGGCGCUGAGAGGAGCUGCCACCAGCUCGAAAGAAACACUGUACUCAAGCACAAUCUUGCAGUUCCGGGCGAUUCAGCGAAGCGUCACUGAGACCCUACCUCUGACUCUGUCCCGUACUCACCUUAGGCCAGCGCUGCCCUGGCUCGAAGGGCUGCCCGGAUCGUUUCGCCCCGUCUCCUGUACAGACCCUACAGCAUUCUGACCAGAGAUGCUGCGACGCUCCUCCAGAGGGGGCCCGCCUUCCUUUCUUCCCAUGGCUGCAACUUCCCGAUGAUUUGUGGCCUGGGCUGCGCCGGGGGUUGAGGAGCACGAAAGAGAGGGACAAGGACUAAGAAGGAGUAAAGAGGUGAGGGCUGGAAGAGAAAUUAGGGAAUCGGGAUAGAAAUCAUUAGAGCUUUCUGGACAAUACGGGGGAAAAAUUACAAACAAAAUAAACCUUUUCCGGGGGGUGGGCCAGAGAGCGCCUGCGCAAGGGAUUGUAAAUCAGAACAAGAGACCAGCUAUAUAGGAACAAACCGCCUUGCACUUCCCUGCUCCCAAAGUGUUAAGUCCACUUUCUCAUUCUCUGAGAGCCACUUACCCCGCUACACCCCACACGCCAAGAGCGGAACAGAACGAUCGUAUGUGCGAUUCUUCCGGUUGUGAAUUAGGGUGCUCUGAUCCUGACUGUAAGAAAAGUGCUUGAUGAAGAAAUCGUGGGCACGAUGGAAGUCGAAAAUGGAUUUGGUCACCUAUCGUGAGUCAAAGCCUCUCCACAUAUAUGGUUCCAUGGUGUAAUGGUGAGCACUCUGGACUCUGAAUCCAGCGAUCCGAGUUCAAAUCUCGGUGGGACCUAUCUCUUUAGUUCACACAGGAACUAUUUUCCUUCCGUUCAUAUCCCUGACUUAGCACAGGAAGGAAAGGGGAGCAGGCCCUGGCAUCACACCUGCCUUAGAUCAAUUGCCUGCCGCAUUUGCGUCCUAUCUCUCCGUUCAGAGACACCAAUCCACACCGUAGCUGCCUGAACACGACACCGCAAUAGGAUAUCCUGUCCUCUGCGACCGGCCUGGCCCGGGGCUCGCUGCCAUACCGCGACUCCGCGACCCUCAGGUCUGCCAUGUUUUCAGGUGACCUGGGGACGAAAGAUCUCCCACACCCGCGAGGCAGCGUACCACGUCCUGGCUUCCCGCACACCCGCCGCUCCCUCUCCUGUUCCUGCAUCUGUUGAAGGGAAUUUAAACCAGCUUAGCCCUUCUUGGGUUUGAGCAGUUUCAAUGCGUUUCAGUUCAUUAAACUUCUGAGAUUCUAUUGAAACCAGUAGAGGCCGCAGCAGUUUUCUAAAUUGAGAUCAAAAGCUGAGCUUAGAUCGCAGUGGCUCCUCCCCGGGCCACUAGCCCGAAGUCAGCAGCUGAAGCUUCAGCCCCAGAGCUCUGCCCCAGGAAAACUCCGUUGGAGAAGGCCGUGGGAAUGUAAGAGGAAAAUAAAUAGUCUUCACGUAUAGGCGCCUGGAGAAAUUUAAAUAAUUGUUUUCCUGUGGUUGGAAUUUUGGGUAGUUGCGAAAUACUGAAAAGUAUAACUUUUUUUUUAGAGAGUUCAGUCUGGGACCUGAAAAGAAAUGCCACAGAGAUGGUCGAGAGAGGUGAGGGAGAUUUGGGGGAAAAAAAAAAAGUCCCAAUGCUUUGGCCAAGGAGGCGGUCCCCUCCCCCAGGUAACCUGAGGAGCCAGAAUGGAAAGAUCUUCAGCCCCUCAGAUCUGGGUUGGUGUUUCUCAGGAAAGUAAACCUCUCUGGCUACUCAACAGCUUCCCUCUCUCGGUAGUGCUCAUUGGCUCCUCUGCUACCCGCGGAAGCCCAUCCUCCGUGACUCAGUGGGUACUGACUGCUCUUGUUCCGAAUGCUGGGGUAAACAUCCCAUUCCUCUAUGGACUCUGACCGGGGCCCACAGUCUGUGAAGAUCCGAAGUAACGAUGCAGGCCAGCUCCUGAGAUAGAAAGAGAAACGCCCAUAAGCUUCCUGAGGCCCCUUACUUGCCCCAUCUCUGCGGGAUACCUUAGGGCACUGGUAGAAAAAAUACAGACAAUAGUUGCCAUAGAUCUUGCAUAAUCCUCCCUGUUACAGAGUUGGGGACCAGCCUGCUCCAGAACAGACAUUUUGAGGGUGUUCUAGUUUGCUUUUCUGUUGCUGAUUUAAAACAUUCUGACCAAAAGCAGCUAGGGUAGGAAAGGGUUUAUUUUGUUUCAUAGAUCGUGGAGGGGAGUCAAGACGGGACCUUUAGGUGGGAACUUGAAGUAGAAAGUGUGGAGAGAGCUUACUUGCUGGCUUGCUCUCAGGCUCUGGCUCAGCUUUCUUAUUCAGCUCACGCAUACCUGCCUAAGGUAUGAACCAUCCAAUGUGGGCUGGGCCGUCCUACACCAAUUAACAUUAAAGAGAAUGAUCCACAGACAUGCCCACCAGACAAUUUGAUCUAGGCAACUCCCCACAUGGGGCUCUCUCUUCCUUGACACACUGUCAAGUUGACCACCCAAGAUUAGCCAUCGAAGAGGACACUUGAAAUAAACAUGCUGGAGUCUGGGAAAGCCCUUUUCACCCCCACGGUUUGCACUCAGUAAGUAUAAAUAAAGAACACAGUCACUCCACCAAUAUAACAUAUAUAUAACACACGCCUGGAAUUAGGCCUGCAAGGAUGAACUGGCCAGCACUUUCUCCACGGAGCUCCCGCAAAUGAGAACUGCAUUUCUGUGACUCUGACUCCUGAGGAGCAAGAACCAGGAGAGAGGAGCAGCAGGGAUACUGGGAUCAUAUCCGACUCAGAAGGGAAACAAAGCAAAUGGUUGACAAGCGGUGACCUUCGUCCUGCUGGAAAUAGAAUAAAGCAGCACCUGUUCUGCCACUUUUUUGCCCUGUCCACACAGACAAAAAUCUCUACUUAUUUGGAGAGCUUGGCCUCUAAGUUAACGAAGCUUGGCGGGGUGUGUGCUGAGCUCUUGGAGUGUACAGAAUUCACCAGUUCACACUGAAAGGAGCUUGAAAUUCUAAGUCCAGCAGGUGAGACGUCAACAGCAGGAACCAACAGGCCCAUCUUAGUAAUGAGAUGCGGAUGAAGGCUUAGAGGCAGCGGUGGACUCUGGAUCCUGGAAUUUGGGUACAAAAAGGACCUGAAAAGUCUCUCCAGACGGUACCCCACAGUUGACGGUCCUUCAUGACCGACCUUCAUGUUGUACUCACAGGUCAUGUUUAGACAGCCACACAGGGAGGAGCUAGAGGAGCAGGAAGGGCCCAGAAUUGGGUGGUGGGAUGGCUGUUCUUGGUUGUCAACUUGACUACAUCUGGAAUGAACCAAAAUCCAAGUGGCUAGAUCCACCCGUGACGGGCAUUUGAAGUGGGAAGACCCACUUUCAAUCUGGAUCUUUUGAGGUGGGAAGAUCCACCUUCAAUCUGGGCCAUGCCUUCUGGAUAUUCCAUUUUCCCAUUAAACCUCUCUAGAAAACUCCCUCAGGGGCAAACCCAGAAGUGUGUCUUCUAGGUGGCUGUGAAUCCAGUCAAGUAAACAGGGAAGAGUAACCAGAUUGGAAAUGCCACAGCGCCCAACCUCCACCACAGGUUCUUGAUCCCUUGGAUGUGAGAUAGUUACGGUCACUAUUUUAACAUAAGCCAAAAAAUAAACUAUAUGUGUGUAUAUAUGUGUAUUCAUCCUAUAGGUCCCGUUCCUCUAGAGAACCCUGACUACUACAGGGGUAGUAUUCAAGGAAAAAAACCUGCAGAGUACAAGAACUCUUGCAGUCUACUGGUCUCCAGAAACCCACCCUUGUAGUAUAAUUAACAAUUAAAAUUACUGGACAAGGCCAAGAACUUACUUUUGAAAAAUUCAGGAGAUAUCCUCAUAGUGUAUCUAGCAAUGGUUUUUGUUUGUUUUAAAGUAACUUUUAUUGGCCUGAUGAUGUAAUGUCAUCUGGGGCUCUCCGCCUCCCUCUGCUAACCUCGGCCUAGUCCUGGAGGCUUCUAGUCUCCAUUCCGUCUAGUCUAGGACUAGAAUGUUUUCAGCCUGAGACUUACUGCUACGUAAGUCCACCUCUUCCUAGUUCUUUCUGAGUUCCGGCUGGCUGGUCAACUCAGCGUUCUGCCUCAACCUCUUCUCCACACUGACUGAUUCAAACUGGCUUUUCUCUCUGCCUCUGAAUUGCUUGGCUUGGCUUCAAACUAACUCUAGCACUCUUUUCUAAUCCUCUGGCUUCUUCUCAUUUUCUUGCUCAUCUGUCUGUACCUGUGUCUAGCUUGUUCUCUCUUCAAUGUGUCUGUGCACAACUCUCCCAGUUAAACUGCCUCCUUCUCCCUCUCUGCAGCUCUACUCUCCCCCUUAACUCCACUGCACUGCUGUCCAGGAACUCUCCUGUGUUCUUGUACUGUACCCUCUUCCUCCUGUGCUGUCUGUCUCUCCCUUAAGUACCUCCCCUUCCCCUCUCUUCUCAUGAGUGUUGACCGUUUCCUAGUCUGUCAAAUCUUUCUCUGGUUUGUCACUUUCUGCCACUCUAUUAGACAUCACUUUCAAACAUGGGUGUUUCCUUCUGCAAACUAACUUUACCUUCGUUGUUUGGGAUUAAAGGUGAGUAUUAAGGGUGUGUUUAUAUUCUAGCCAGAACAGGAUGUCUCUCUACAGCCCUGACUGUCCUGGAACUCUGUAGAGCAGCCUGGGUUUGAACUCACAGAGACCUGCCUGUUUCUGCCUCCUGAGUGCUGAGAUUAAAGGCAUGCACCACCAUCGCCUAGCUUCUGUCAACGUUCUAAUAACCUUUUAUUCACUGGGAUUUAAUUAUGUAUUUUCCUUUCUUUCCUACCUAAGGGAAUUCAGUUUUCCAACUGAAACUCAAGCAUGACAGCUGACCCAAUUAGGGCAGUUAAGGUCAGUUAAAGGGAGAGAGGCACUCUUCUUCCUCAGACAGAAUUUAAAGGCCCUCCUUACCCAGGGUGGCCCUGACAGCCUUCAGGUAGGGCUACCAAGAGCAACUGACAAGGGCACGGGUUAGCUGAGCAUCUAAUCUUAAAGCUCAGCUGAGUGAAGUGGCCACAGGACUUCCUUACCCCAAGAUGCCUCCAGGUACCCAGCUCACAUGAUACUCCACCAGGAAAGGGACCUUUGUCCUGGUGUCCUGCUGUCCUCUGCAUCUGGAGCCUUCAGGGACCAGGCCUGACUGAGCAGGAAGAGAGGAGAAACACCCUGGGGAGAGGCUAGACCUGAUGUGACUUAGCAUCUGGGCAGCAGGCAGUGGCCUCACAGGAAGGAGAGUGUCAUGUGGGAUGCUUAUUAGAAUGAAUAGUCUAGGCUAAGAGUAGAAGCUUUCCAGAUUUCCACAUGCUGACCUUGCUGUGGGCAAGGAAUUGAAGCGUCUCUUCUUUUUGGCAUCUCUAACUGGUUAAUGCAUGUGUUGUAUAGGAGCUGCAGCAUUCAGACAGAUUGCUCAUGAGAGCUGUAAGAGAGAAAAGGGUCACUCACAGCAGUUGGCUUAAGGACUUGAAAAACCCAAUAGUGGGAUGGGGUAGGAUGUCGGAUACGCUGGAUGGCUUAACAGAUAACACAGUAUUUCCCCUUAUUGAAUAAGAGCCAGACGGUCGCUAAGUGGCUCCGCUUCACGCAUUUCAAGGCGGUGUAGCCCACUAAGGCUUUAAAAUAAGCUGUGUGUAUGAUGUCAGGGUGUGCCGUGAGAAGGGACCAUAUUGAACGACUCCAUGUGUUGACACUGAUGAUGAAGAUGAUGAUGAUGGUGGUGGGUUCUACGUAACUCUAAAUGACCAGGGACCAGUGAACCCAAGUAGAAGAUUGGAGAAGGUUUAUACAAGUGUGGACCACGAGGUUAGAGCAGCUGAGGUUUCAGAAUCAAAGGUCAAGGCAUAUAGGGCUCUGACGGUGCAAGCACAGGUGGUAUGGCCUUUCUGCACUGGUGACCUCAGGAGGAGUCUGACUAAGGUUGACAAAGCAUUAAUCACUUCCCCCUAGUAAGCUAAAAUUGAGAGGGGUGGUAUUUCAUCUUCCUCCUCCUCUUCCUCUGCCUCCUCCUUCCUCCUGAGGCCAUUGGAGAAAUAAACAGACUUUUUUUUAAAGCAUACAAAAACUCCCCAAAUCCCACAUUCAGUAUAUGGAUUUUUGUAUCUUUGCUAUAUGCUUUGUAUUGUCAAUAUUUAACUAUCUUGGAAAGGUUUUAUAUUGAAAUUGAAUAUAUUGACAAUAUAUCUACUCUGACAUACACAUACAUACAUAUAUAUAUGAUGUGUAUAUAUGAUGAACUAUUGCUACAGUGAGCUAUUAGUAUAUCUGACUUUUUAUUACCUUUAUUUAUUUACUUAUUAUGUAUGCCUGUGGUCAUGUGUGCGGAGGUCAAAGGUAACUUGAAGCACUCGGUUCUCUUCUUCCACUGUUCAGGAUGUCAUGGCUUGUUGGCAAGCUCCUCUACCCACUGAGCCUUCUCCCAGCCCAGUCUGUCUAUCCUUUCUGUUGCAUUGUGUAUAAGUAUUGCUGAGAACACUUAGACCUAAUGUCUGCAUAUUUUGAGUAGAAAACAUUAACUGCAGUUCCAAUGCUGUCCUUUGGGUCUCUAGAACUCAGUUCUGUGAAACUGAAGCUUUGCAUCCUCUGAUGAAAAUCUCCCCGUCUCUUCCGAUGCCUCCUUGUCCCUGGUGACCAACACUGGACUCCCCUUCAAAGUCCUUGGAUUGAGAGUGCUGAGGUCAGUGAAGCGCUGGGUGCACCAGCAGUUACAGUCAGUCAGAGAGCUCUGACUUCACGAGUGGACUGGCUUCUCAAUAGAUUCCUAAUUUCAUGACCUUUUUAGGGAAGCGGCAAAGGGUCAGUGGUAGAGCCAAGUUGAAGAGAGUGGGUCAUCCUGGUGAGCGCUGCCUCCCUUGGAGCCUGUACUGUGGGUGGUUGUGAGCCAUCAGGUGAGUUCUGGGAACUGAACCUGGGUCCUCUCAAGAGCAGCAUGUGCUUGCUCUUAACACUGAGCCCUCUCUCCAGCUUCUGGUGAUUGUUCAGUUGGCUUUUUUAAAAUUUAUUUUUAUGAUUUUAAAGUAUAUGGUGUGGGGGUAGCAUGGGUACACCAUGAGUCUGCAGAGACCAGUGUCAGUGGAUACCCCAGGAGCUGGAGUUAGAGGCAGUUGUGGGUCACCUGACAUGGCUGUUGGGAUCCAAAUGUAUGCCCUCUCAAGAGCAGCAUGUGCUCUUAGCCACUGAGCAUCUCUCCAGCUCUGCCUCUGGGUUUCUUAAUGAUAGCUUCUCCUCUUCCCCCUCCUCACCCCUUCCUCCUCUUGCUGCCCCUCACCCCUCUUCUUUCUCCACUAGUUCCUUUUCUGCCUCUUCCUCCACUUCCUCCUCCACCACCACCACCACCACCACCACCACCACCACCACCACCACCACCACCACCACCACCACCACCACUACUUCUUCUUCUUCUUCUCCUCCUCAUCCUCCUCCUUCUUCUUCUUCUUUUUCUUUUUCUCUUCUUCUCCUCCUCCUCCUCUUCCUCCUCCUCCUCUCCCUCCUCCUCCUCUUCUUCUUCUCCUUCUUCUUCUCCUUCUUCUUCUUCUUCUUCUUCUUCUUCUUCUUCUUCUUCUUCUUCUUCUUCUUCUUCUUCUUCUUCUUCUUCUUCUUCUCCUCCUCCUCCUCCUCCUCCUCCUCCUCCUGCUCCUCCUCCUCCUCCUCCUCCUCCUCCUCCUUCUUCUUCUUCCUCUUCUUCUUCUUCUUCAUUUUCUCUUCCCCCUUCUCCUUUUUUACUAGGCCAAGCAUUUUAUUAUCUUUUUAAAAUUUUAUUCCCUGGCUGCUUCAGCUUAAUUUGCCACACAGAAUGAAUUGUAUAUACACACAAAAAAAGUGUGGAAGUGUCCAGUUGGCCUGGACUUAGAAUGUUAGAGAUCUAGAUUUAUCAGAUCCAUAGAAGAAUUUUAAAAGUGGUCAUGAUUUAAAAUAGCAGCUCCUAUAACUUCUGUGAGUCCUUCAGAAGUUGUCUCAGUUCAGUCUGUCUCGUUCUUAGAAGUCUUAUCAAAAUUCUCCACAAGAGCUGGAACUACUACUACUGCUGCUGCUGCUGCUGCUAUACUCCUACUACCACCACUAACUAUUACUAUUACCACUACUACUACUACUAAUUCCUCCUCCUCCUCCUGCUCCUCCUCCUCCUCUUCCUCCUCCUCCUCUCCCUCCUCUCCCUCCUCCUCCUCCUCUCCCUCCUCUCCCUCCUCUUCCUCCUCCUCCUCUCCCUCCUCUUCCUCCUCCUCCUCCUGCUCCUCCUCCUCUCCCUCCUCUUCCUCCUCCUCCUCCUCCUCCUCUCCAGUAGGAAAUGGUGCUUUUCCAUCUGCAGAUUGUUUGGGCAGCUUCAUCCAGUCUCCUUAAAGUAGUCACACUGUCUGCACCAAGCUGGCUUAGGACACCGGGAAGCAUUUCUGUCAGCUGCUCUGUCUCAGGGGAGCCUGUAAUAGUGAAGGCUGAACUUCAUGGUUGUCAAAAUGGACCACUGUUUGUAAACAUGCUCCCUUCCUCAAUAUCAGAUAUGUGUUCACACCUAACUUCUUUAAGAACUGCAGGUUUUAUCACCCGCGGUGGCUGUUCUACUGAUUACCUUCUUCUUCCUGUGGGCAGUGCCUUUCUCACAUGCACACACUGUGUCUGCAGUUUGUCCUGAGUCCCUCUGGUUCAUGAGCUGCAAGACUGGGAGUCGGGAAAAGCCCUCCCCUAUGUCCUCCAGGGACACCUACGAUGGCUCACGAUGAACUGCUCCAUGCUUUUCUUCCUCUGGUUGGCCGUCUUCAGACGCACAGCAGUGCUCUGAAGGAGCUGUUGCUGUUGGGACACUUGGGCUCGCAGGUCUAGGAGUUCUUUCUCCAUCAGUUUUCCCUGAGGAGGAGGGAUAGACUCAGACAACAUUUCCCAGGCUAAACACACCCUGAGCUUUGCAGUGGAUUGCUAUCUUCUCACCUUUUUAUUGAAUUCCCGCCAUUAAAAUUCCCCUAAUGCCAGCAGGAGACAGCUGAGGACCAGGCCAUCAGACAGAAAUGGGGAGGGAAACUGAAGCCUGCUGGUGAGAACCUCGCUCUAGACCAACACCAAAUCCCAAACGAAAGCCAGAGCUCUGUUUGGUCCAGUAGAAUAUCCUCAAUUACUCAUCAUGAGUGACACUUAGGAGUUCAGGGAUGUUAUAUCUGAAGAGAGGGGACUGGCCAGAGGACAGUGGCACUGUCUACAGAUAUCUGCCACCACAGAGAUAUGAAGCACCUUGAAUUAGCACAGGUGGGCCCAUAAAGACGGCAGUAACAGUUAUCUGCAGCUGGAGUCUGGGGGAGAUCCUAAAAUGCCUCUAACAUUCUGCUGGCCACAACCCACCUGAGAGACAAGAGACCCCAGGAGGUGGCUGACUUUCCCAGGCCUGACCCAGAGACACAAACUGUAAAAACUGUUGAGAUCCCAGAACAUGGCUAAGAGGCCAUUUGCUCAUGGUGCUGGCCUAUGGACUUUUGAUCACAUGCACCUUAGGGAUGAGGAAGGCCAAAUGACAAGCAGGUCUCUUGACCAGCUCAGCUAAACUUCAGGGUACAAGACCUGGAAAUGUCUGGAUAUGCAGGCUGACUGUGUCUACCUGCCAUACUCUUUGCUUCUCUCUGGUGACUCAUCAAGAGUUGGAGGGUGGGAAAUGAACAUGUUAGAACUGUAGCGAUGGGGCCAUGGCAGCUCUGAGGCUCCAGGAGGUCCCAUGAAGAUUCUGCCCAUCCCAACUCUCCAUAUAACCCUGGACCAUCAAGAAAGCCAAGGAGUCAGGAGCAGGGCGGGGCCAUACUGGCACGGAAAAGUAGGCUUUAACCAGCCGAACCCACAGCCUCUUACCUCUUCGCCUACCAGUACAGAACCAUGAGAGUUUGGCAAAGCUGCUCUCCAGAACAUGGUGAGGAGGGAAGCUGACUCUUCUAGGCUGUGGUUCAGAGCCCUGGCGCUGCUCCGAAGCUCAUGGACACUUUUGGUACCUGGUGCCUGGGGAAAGAAGACGGGGAGUCAUGAAUAUCACUGGAACUGGGGCAUCUUGUUGCUCCAAGCAUGGGGCUCAUGUUUCCUGUGUCAACAAGCACAGAAGAGAGGCCUGCUGGAAACCCUGGCUUCCCCUUACAGUCCCAGUCCCUUUGCCUGGAACCCUUCCCCCAGAUGCCUGCCCUAUAAGCCCUCAAAACUCAUCCCUGUGUUACAUCCACUAAGAAGCUGUACCUCCCUUGUCUCUAACGCAACCACAGAGGACAGAGCAUGUCUAUGGUGCCUUGUUGUGCGUAUCAAUAGGGAACUCUAUCUUGCUCUUCAAAAGUGGGUCCUUGUAGAUGAAUUCGGCUAUCCUAUGCAAGCACCCAUGAGUGUCCAGCUUCUCAAAUGACAUCAUCAUUGGUGCCUACUCCCUCUCAACCUCUAAGUGCCCUGUAGAGCUUUGAUGGCUGCCUCCCCUCCUCCGCUCAGUCUGAACAGGGAAACCUGGGUUAUCAGGUUUGCUCCCUUCCAAUGCCAGCACUCCUAUCAAAGUGCAGGGUUUUCUGGAGUUCUCCAUCAAAAUAUCAAGUCAGCCUUCUCUGGGAGACAGAGAAGGGUCCCUACAGAAUAAACAUAAGCCACUUCCCCGGCUGCUGGGAGAUGGGAAGCACAGAAGGAAGGCUGGGGCAAAGGAGUUACAGCCAGAGGACGGGAGUAACUAAGAGGUCAGGUGUGGCCACCUCUGUGCCCUGCGCGUCCAGUGCAGGGACGCUGCGUGCUGGCCUCGUGAGAGACAGUAUCUUUUGGAUCAGCAGCUUCCCUUCCCCAAUCUGCUGCUGUAGGGUGUCGUAGUCAUCCACAUGGCCGAUGACGUGUCUGCCGUGUCCACUGGCAAAUGGGCCAUCAGCAGCAUCGACCUCCAUCUUGGGAGGGGUCUUCGUUGCUGCAGACUCAUCCGAACCUAGCGCAGACAAAGAAGCAGAAGUCGGACCCAUCGUUGUAGAUAAUAAUGGCCCCAACUCCAACUCCAGAGGGACAAUGAGAGAGGCAAGAAGCAAGUCAGCCUUCAAGUCACUCUGCAGGGUGGCAGAGUCCACAGAGCACCUGGGUUCUGCACAGUCGUUUUAAUGUCACUUUGAUAGAGACUUCGAUAGUGUCACCAGACAAAAUUUAGAAUUACCUGGGAGGCGUGGCCUCUGGGCUUGCCUAUGGUGGAUCCUUUUGAUGACAUUAACUUAUGUGGGGAGGCACACCUUAAUGGUGGACAGGACUGUUUCCUGUCACGAGCUGGGUGGAGUGAUGAAGGGGCUCUAAUGCUAGCAUGCACGUGUUCCUGGCUCUCUGGUUCUGAUGUCAGAUGCUGUGCGACAGCUCCCUUAAGGUCCUGUGACCCCGUUGCUCUGGUGGAGCAUAACCUGCAGAGGUGAGCCAGAAGCACACCUUUCUCACCUGCUCUGCUUUCUCAGGAAACUUCGUCAGGCAAAAAGGAAGGAUACUGUGACGCCUUUCCACAGGGGAACCAGUCAGGGUAAAUACUAUUACUGAGUAGGUUUCUGGGUAAAGGAUGUUGAACACAGGAGCCCUACUCAAGGGCAGGGCGAUGACAGAGCGACCAAGGCAGAGGCCUGUGCAUAGCAUGAGGCUGAGAAAGAUCGCUAGGCAUAGGUGAGGCAGGGCCAGAGAGCCAACCAAAGGUUGUUUGCAUCAAUAAUUUCCCAUCACCACCUGAGUCCUUUUGUAGCUGUAUUUACCAUUGUUUGUCCUACUGAUGAUGGCAGAGUCUGAGCCAGGAACAGAGCACGAAUUGCUGGGGAGGACCACGGCUGGAGAAUUCAAGCCAACGUCCCGGACUGGAGGGGAAGCAGCUGAACCUAGGGAACACAACAGCCACUGUGUCAGGUCAACAAAAUGCUGCAUGUGCACAGCCCAAGAUCAACCCCAGGGAACCGGCGCUCAUAGGCCACAGCACGGGGAGACGGCAGAGCACUGUGAAUGUUUCCUGAGAAUGUCAUUUCUAGUUCAAAAGAUCAGUAGGUAUUUUAUAAGUCCGAUUUUGGAUAUAAGUUUGCAUGUAGGGUCCAGUACCAUUAUGACUUGAAGUGAAGUGAAAUAUAAAUAUGAGUGUGUGUGUGUGUGUGUGUGUGUGUGUGUGUGUGUGAGAGAGAGAGAGAGAGAGAGAGAGAGAGAGAGAGAGAGAGAGAAGAGAAGAGAAGACCAGGAGAGAGAGAGAGAAGACCGGGAGAGAGAGAAAGAGAGAGAGAGAGAAAGAGAGAGAGAGAAAGAGAGAGAGAGAGAGAGAGAGAGAGAGAGAGAGAGGAGAAGACCAGGAGAGAGAGAGAGAGAAGACCGGGAGAGAGAGAAAGAGAGAGAGAGAGAGAAAGAGAGAGAGAGAGAAGAGAGAGAGAGAGAGAGAGAGAGAGAGAGAGAGAGAGAGAGAGAAGAGAAGACCAGGAGAGAGAGAGAAGACCGGGAGAGAGAGAGAGAGAGAGAGAAAGAGAGAGAGAGAAAGAGAGAGAGAGAGAGAGAGAGAGAGAGAGAGAGAGAGAGAGAGAGAAGACCAGGAGAAAGGCUCAGUAGGAGAUCACUUGACAUGUCACUGACAAAAACAAAGAGUUUACCAGAGAAUGAAUGGGUUCACAAAGGUUGCAGUUCAGCUGUCUGGUCCUCACCCUGGAUGUUAUUAACUACAGCAAAGCUCAGUCAUCUGGUCCUGAUCCUGAUCCCUUGGCCCAGUAACCCUUGCUUGCCUAUUAAAUGUCUUGGGAUUCAAUUUUCUCAUGAGAAAUACAAAAGAGGGAAUGAACUUGUAUAUUUCAAUGAACUUGUAUAUUUGAGGGAACUAGUAAAUUUUAAAGCACUACAUAAAU